rnacentral:rRNA from 1 species
UCUGUUAAGUCAGAUGUGAAAUCCCCGGGCUCAACCUGGGAACUGCAUUUGAAACUGGCAAGCUAGAGUCUUGUAGAGGGGGGUAGAAUUCCAGGUGUAGCGGUGAAAUGCGUAGAGAUCUGGAGGAAUACCGGUGGCGAAGGCGGCCCCCUGGACAAAGACUGACGCUCAGGUGCGAAAGCGUGGGGAGCAAACAGGAUUAGAUACCCUGGUA